UACGGAGGGUGCAAACGUUGCUCGGAAUCAUUGGGCGUAAAGCGCACGUAGGCGGCCUGUUAAGUCGGAUGUGAAAGCCCCGGGCUCAACCCGGGAAGUGCAUACGAAACUGGCAGGCUUGAAUAUGGAAGAGGGUCGCGGAAUUCCCGGUGUAGAGGUGAAAUUCGUAGAUAUCGGGAGGAACACCAGUGGCGAAGGCGGCGACCUGGGCCAAUACUGACGCUGAGGUGCGAAAGCGUGGGGAGCAAACAGG
rnacentral:rRNA from 1 species